rnacentral:rRNA from 1 species
UAUGUAGGGUGCGAGCGUUAAUCGGAAUUACUGGGCGUAAAGCGUGCGUAGGCGGUUCGUCAAGUCUGAUGUGAAAGCCCCGGGCUCAACCUGGGAACUGCAUUGGAAACUAGCGAGCUUGAGUGUGGCAGAGGGGGGUGGAAUUCCACGUGUAGCAGUGAAAUGCGUAGAGAUGUGGAGGAACACCGAUGGCGAAGGCAGCCCCCUGGGCUAACACUGACGCUCAGGCACGAAAGCGUGGGGAGCAAACAGG